rnacentral:lncRNA from 1 species
GUGUGGGGGAGGUAACCAUUGUUUUGCAUGAAAUUCGUAGAAAUUUAUCACCCAUUACUUCUAGUGUUGUUCCUUGUUGUUUUAAGUAUUUUUAAGCUGUUUUGGAGUGUUUCAAUGUGUUUUGACAUAAAAAUCCGAAAAUUCAUAAAAAUCCGAAAAUCCAAAAAAGAGUUGUUUUUGUGCGCUUAUUUGUGUCUUAGGGUACCUUCCAACACAAUGAUGAGGAUUCGGUUUGUAAUUGCAUGACUGUUAAAGAGAGUUAUAAACAUGGAUGAAAGUUUGAUUUACUCUUUAUUUAUGCGUGGUUGUGGUUAUAACUUAUGAAAUCACAUGUAAUCAUAAAAGAAAAAAUUAGUUUGUAACAUGCUUGAAGGAAAGAACUCAAACUAACGCUAUAACCUUGUGAGACUUGAGCUUAAACGUUUAUUUGGAGAGUUAAAAUCUGUGCAUUGUUGUUUUCUAAAGUCGUUGCAUGAUCUCAUUAUUCUUUGCUUGGUUAUUACUUAGAAGGCGUUUCAUCAUUUAGUUCCAAAUGCUGGAACUCAUGCCUAUUUCAUUCAAAGCAUGCUAUUGAUUUGCAUAAAACAUAUUCAAGA